UUGACAUAACCAGUAUGGUAUCAUCUACUUUUGAGCACAGUGAACACUUAGGGUGAAAUUAAACUACAAUAGAAAUUAUUAUAUGAAUGACAAUUGUGUAAUAUUUACUAAGCUGCAGGAUUAGGAGUACUAAAAUCUGCAUAAGGUUAUUCAAGUCUUGUUGAGUUUGAAAAUAUCGGAGCUAUUACAGAUACAAAACAUAAUUGUCCUGCUGAUCGAUAUUUGAAGUAAACUAAAUAGAAAUGAAUAUUGAUUUGGUUUUACGCAAUUAUUAUUUCAUUCGUAUGGAUUAAACCGCCAUUUUGAACAAUUAUUAGAUACGAAAAUGAAUUAUGAGGAAACUGUCAAUUUCAUUAAACUGUUCUUGUUGUUAAUGAACGGCGGGACGUUUUUACUUAGGACGUUGAUUUAUAAACUCACUUCAGAAUCUGGAAAAUCAUUAGAUGAUCUUUUAUUGCAAAAUCGUGACUCCUUGGACGACAAGUUAAAGAAGAAUAGGAAGCAAUUUGAUCUGUUGUUUCCAGGAAGCUCUCAGAAUGCAGAUAUUGAACAGUGGGAUAUUUCAUUACUAACAUUUGUUUUACUUAAUGUGUUUAAAGGAUUGUUCGAUAGUCAAGAGAUAGCAGCAAUAAAAGUUAUUAGAGAUCACAGAAAUAAAAUUUUGGCUCAUAAUGCAAAAUCAGAAAUUACUCUUAAAGAUUUUAUGUCAGCCUGGAUCCAGGUCUCUAGCGCUCUUACAAAUUUAUCUACAACAGUGACACCGGAAGACCAAAAGGAAUUGAAACAGAUUGAGUCAACUAUAUUUAAAGAUCCCUUUCAAAAGGAACUAGUUGGACAACUAAAUGAGAUUGGAAAAACAGAUAUAUUAUUAAAGGCUGUAAUAGAAAAUGUCAUGCCAUUAAUAAAAGACAGAAUAUCAGAAUCUGAGAAGAAAACACAAGAAGAGAUUAAUAAAUGUAUUGAACAACUGACGGAAAUUAAGAAAGAACAAAAGAAACAAGGUAACCAGAUAGCCCUUCUGGUUAGAAUGGAUUUCAGCACAAAUAGUACAAGAAGCAGACGACAAGUUCAGGAACACAUAAAAGAAGCGUCUGAUAAUAUUAUCAAAGGAGGCUUCGAUUUUGACAGCUCUAAUGAUGAAGUUUCAUCAGCUGUUGGAAUCCUUUUCAAAGGAAUGGAAAAACAGGGUAUUAAAGUUGUUAAGGCAGAGAAAGGAUCCAUUCUGUUUACAUUAUUGUGUCCAACAGUAAAGUCUUUGCGAGACGUAACACUAUACCUGGAAAGCCCACAAAUACAACCAAGGUUAUCAUACAUUGAGAAAGCUGUGGAAAUAUGUCACUCUUGCGUAGCAAAAAUAACAAUAAAUGUAGAUCUAAAGAGUCUCCAGUGUGCCACAAAGAAAGCAGGGAAAGGGUCAGUCUAUCUAACACUCGAAUGCAACGAUGAAGCUGGAGUAAGGAGUGCUUUUAAACUAUUUGAAAACGGCGACUCGCCUAACACACUUAAUAAAUUGUCGGAGGCACUUUCACGAGAAGUCGGGACAAAAGUAGAGCUUCAAACAGGGAUUGACAUUGAAAAGAUGAAAGACACUAUGGAAAAGGCACAAGCAUCCACAAACCUAUUAAUGCAUUCGACGGAUUAUGAGGUAAGCAACGAUGGCAAGACCAGAAUCUCCGAAGAGUUAACAGAACUUUCAGCUGAUAAUACAUCAAACCAGCAAAAGGAAGUUGCUGACGACCUGCAAAAGCUAAAAGACACUAACCUGUUUGAAACAGAAGAAACGACAGAAUAUAAAGAUUUAGUUAGUAAGGUGCUACGCAUUAAACAGCAAGCCUUGAAGCUGGAUAUUUCAGUGAAUCAAAACUUAACAGAAGAGAGUAAAACACAGAGUGAAGACUUGGUGCGAAUGCUGAACGAGACGACAGCUGAGACAGCUGUUUUGGACAAUGUUUGGUGAUAAACAGCGAAAAUCGAUGCAUGAAAAAUGGCUGUCCGGGUAGUGACUUAAUUAAUCUAUCACAAAAGACAAAGUAUACUGUGCUAAAUGCGUUUUGUUUUGGCGCAUUGGUAGCAGUGACAAAGCCUUCAUAUUUGAGCUACCAGUGACAGAUUCGGAGAAUGUUUUCCUGGCUCAAAAAAAAGCACGUUAUAAAGAAUCCUGUCACCACGAUGUGUCGGCCCUACAGGGAAAUUAUACGAUAUAUCAAGACAGGAAAAACUAAUUGAAAAAAUGCAUCUCCUUACAUUCAAAAUAAGAUACUAGGAAUUUGCUCUAAUCAAAUAAGAGAAAAAUUGUAAGCGGACUGUAUAAAUGUUCCUUUCUUUUCCUUCAUUGCUGAUGAUUAGCGUUUAACGAAGAACUGGCAAGGAACGCAGUUUCAAAAGACGAAAUGGGGCAACGCACUAAAACGUAAACCCUUCUGAGACUCGGUGGUCAAGUCGAGCCGAUGCUCUCUGCACAAAAAAUAUCACGCUUCCAGUGAGAAUCCAUGCUCUGGAAACACUGCUGAAGAUGGAGAUGUGAAUAUGAAAAAACCCUAGAUACAAGAUCAAAGCAAACAGAAGAAAUACAAAAACAAAUUCAAGAGACAAAACAACAGCAUGAAAAAAUGAAAGAAGAAGAAGAACAAAAACAAAUUCAAUUGAAGAAACUGAAAGCGACCGUUGCA